rnacentral:rRNA from 1 species
AUAUAACUAAGCGGAGGAAAAGAAACUAACUAGGAUUCCCUCAGUAACGGCGAGUGAAGCGGGAAAAGCUCAGACGUAAAAUCUUCGGAGUUGUCGUCUGGAGAAGCAACAUCGGUGUCGAGUGGGUCGGGUAAAGUCCUCUGGAACGAGGCGCCAGUGAGGGUGACAGCCCCGUACAUACCUGACUUCCUACUCGCAUCAUUUGUGCUUUCAACGAGUCGAGUUGUUUGGGAUUGCAGCUCUAAGCGGGUGGUAAAUUCCAUCUAAAGCUAAAUAUUGGUGGGAGACCGAUAGCGCACAAGUA